rnacentral:rRNA from 1 species
CGCGUAGGUGGUUUGUUAAGCGAGAUGUGAAAGCCCCGGGCUUAACCUGGGAACGGCAUUUCGAACUGGCAGGCUAGAGUAUGGUAGAGGGUAGUGGAAUUUCCUGUGUAGCGGUGAAAUGCGUAGAUAUAGGAAGGAACACCAGUGGCGAAGGCGGCUACCUGGACCAAUACUGACACUGAGGUGCGAAAGCGUGGGGAGCAAACA